GAUGAACGCUGGCGGCGUGCCUAAUACAUGCAAGUCGAGCGAACGGACGAGAAGCUUGCUUCUCUGAUGUUAGCGGCGGACGGGUGAGUAACACGUGGAUAACCUACCUAUAAGACUGGGAUAACUUCGGGAAACCGGAGCUAAUACCGGAUAAUAUUUUGAACCGCAUGGUUCAAAAGUGAAAGACGGUCUUGCUGUCACUUAUAGAUGGAUCCGCGCUGCAUUAGCUAGUUGGUAAGGUAACGGCUUACCAAGGCAACGAUGCAUAGCCGACCUGAGAGGGUGAUCGGCCACACUGGAACUGAGACACGGUCCAGACUCCUACGGGAGGCAGCAGUAGGGAAUCUUCCGCAAUGGGCGAAAGCCUGACGGAGCAACGCCGCGUGAGUGAUGAAGGUCUUCGGAUCGUAAAGCUCUGUUAUUAGGGAAGAACAGAUGUGUAAGUAACUGUGCACAUCUUGACGGUACCUAAUCAGAAAGCCACGGCUAACUACGUG
rnacentral:rRNA from 1 species